rnacentral:lncRNA from 12 species
CACCCUUAAAAGAGCAGCAGCUUUAGCCACCCUGUGCCUCUGGAGGCUGAGUCCAGGUAGUCCAACAGAGAGCCCUACAAGGGAACCAACACCAUAGUGAAGAAGAAAGUUAGCCAUGCAUUUACAAAAUGAAUUACGUGAGACCAAGUUGAUAUCUGCAGCAUGAAGAGUAAUCAUUUGUUGGCUUGAGAAGGCACUGCAUCUGGCAGAAGCUAUGUUCCUGUGAAAUGAUUGACCAAGGCUAAAAAAUAGAAGAUGGAAAAUGGAAGAUGUGUGAAAUCAAUCAGUCAGGGACAUGAGAUCUUGUAGGAAUUGUAAUUAGUUCAUGAAUAGCUGCCAUGAAGCCCUCUUCAUAAUUUGGAGGAAGUCACCCUGGAACUCCAGGAACAGUAGAGAGGGGACAGCUCCAGGCCAUGAGAACUGGGAAGCCCAUAAUGAGGGCCAGCAGGGUUCCAAGCAAGAUUUGGCACGGCUGGGUCUGCCCCUGCCUCCCAGACUGGCAGGAAGAAGCACGUUCUCCUCUCUUUCUCCCCAAGAACUCGCCUUUGUGGGGAGUCAGGUAAACACCGGCAGUGUGUGAUCUUUCACAAGAUGGUUGAUCUCCAGAAGUGGAUCCUAGUCCUGUUUACUUCCUCUUCUUUUAAAUAGAAUAUCCAGAGCUUCCGAGGAAAUGCUUUGGGUCUGAAGUGAGUUCUCUAUCUUUGACUUAAUAAAAGACAUGUUGCUCCAGAAUCA